AGAAAAGACAAGCUGCAAAAAAAAUCUGCUGCUGCUAAGGAGGAUGAGGAGGAGGAGGAGGAGACACCAGGGAUGUGUCGGCCUCAUAGGUGUUGUUGUCCCUCCUCCAAGCUUGGGGGGGAGAUGGGCCUCCCCGGGUCCCCAAGCUUGACGGACAUCCGUUCAGCCAUGGCCACAUACAACUUCUCAGUGAGUCUCAGUGAGAUCAUGUGGCACGACGCACACACGCAAGAGCGCUUUGAUGCGCUCCAUAAAAAAUUACCACGGGCCAAGCAGAUGAGGGACCUCUUUGUCUGCCUGGCACAGCAGGAGCCCUCAUCCGAUUCCUCCUCCUCCUCCCCCGUUCCUGCUGCUGCUGGCUCCUCCUCCCCCGCUCCUGCUGCUGCUGAAAUAGCAGAAGAGAGUAGGUGGAUUUCAAAUCUUCUGGAUUGGCUUGUGUGCAACAUUGAACAACACCGUCAUCUGGGAACAUGACUUUCGAAGCAAGAGACGAAUGCACCAAAAGCUACACGCGCGUGUCCGCAUGCAUCUUUGGAAUAGAAAACCACGUUCCAUUCACCAUGAAGUAAAAGUUUAGAUAUUUUUUUUAUGGAAAAAACGACAAUCUCGUAAUCACGGUCCUUAUAUAACUCACUUGACAUUUUCUGAAUCUACAGGUCGGACAACAGCGUUUGAGAUUUCCUGACUUUUUCAGAGAUAUAUAUAUAUAGCUAUAAUGACAAGAAAAUAGUCAAAAUAUACACUUAACCUAAUGUAUCCUGAAGACCAAGAGAUACAUCCUUUCAGAAAUUCACGUGAAUGUAAAAGCUCCAAGGUGGAUAGGCAAUCUUCAUAUAUUGUAUUUAUUUUUUAGCUCAAAGCCAAAAAACAGCCAAGAAUGCAUAGGUCCAAUCCCGUAAUAUCCCCUGCAGCACGGGGACUUUAGCUGGUGUAACAGGUGUCGAUCUGCGUUGUGUUCUGGCAAAUGCGUUGGAAGGGUGGAAGGACGGCUGGACAACAAUGGAGGGUUUCUCAUUUAUUGGUAUCUGGAUCUGGAUGAGCCAAAGAAAAUCAUGUCAUCGCAUGUAAACCGUUGUAAACCGUCAUAGCCAGGACCACAUUCCCGCCUAGCAAACAAACAAACGGAUACUCUGACGCACAUAUAGACAAUAAACUCUCAAAAAGUAAAUUUGCAAAGCGUUAGCUGUUAUAACAGUGCUGUAGCAUGUUCAUAUAUAACAUUUACAUUAUCUACGAAACGAUUUAUA
rnacentral:lncRNA from 1 species